rnacentral:rRNA from 1 species
UACGUAGGGCGCAAGCGUUAUCCGGAAUUAUUGGGCGUAAAGAGCUCGUAGGCGGUUUGUCGCGUCUGCCGUGAAAGUCCGGGGCUCAACUCCGGAUCUGCGGUGGGUACGGGCAGACUAGAGUGAUGUAGGGGAGACUGGAAUUCCUGGUGUAGCGGUGAAAUGCGCAGAUAUCAGGAGGAACACCGGUGGCGAAGGCGGGUCUCUGGGCCUUACCUGACGCUGAGGAGCGAAAGCGUGGGGAGCAAACAGG